UACGUAGGGGGCAAGCGUUGUCCGGAUUCAUUGGGCGUAAAGAGCGUGUAGGCGGCCAGGUAGGUCGGUUGUGAAAACUGGAGGCUCAACCUUCAGAGGUCGACCGAAACCAUCUGGCUAGAGUCCGUGAGAGGAGAGUGGAAUUCCUGGUGUAGCGGUGAAAUGCGCAGAUAUCAGGAAGAACACCCGUGGCGAAAGCGGCUCUCUGGAACGGUACUGACGCUGAGACGCGAAAGCGUGGGGAGCGAACAGG
rnacentral:rRNA from 1 species